rnacentral:rRNA from 1 species
CCUACGGGUGGCAGCAGUAGGGAAUAUUGCUCAAUGGGGGAAACCCUGAAGCAGCAACGCCGCGUGGAGGAUGAAGGCUUUCGGAUUGUAAACUCCUUUUGUUAGAGAAGAUUAUGACGGUAUCUAACGAAUAAGCACCGGCUAACUACGUGCCAGCAGCCGCGGUAAUACGGAGGGUGCAAGCGUUACUCGGAAUCACUGGGCGUAAAGAGUGCGUAGGCGGGGGAAUAAGUCAGAUGUGAAACCCUGGAGCUUAACUACAGGACUGCAUUUGAAACUGUUACUCUGGAGUGUGGGAGAGGUAGGUGGAAUUCUUGGUGUAGGGGUGAAAUGCGUAGAGAUCAAGAGGAAUACUCGUUGCGAAGGCGACCUGCUGGAACAUUACUGACGCUGAUGCACGAAAGCGUGGGGAGCAAACAGGAUUAGAUACCCUUGUAGUC